UUAAACGAUCUCAUCGGUUCUAUUGAUUUUCCUAACAACUCCUCUACCCCAUCUAGGAUCGAGUACUUGUACCUUGGCCAUAACCGUAACCAUUUUGAAGGAAAUAUCAUUGAGCCUAUCUCAAAGCUCAUCAACCUCAAGCUUCUUGACCUUUCUUUCCUUAACACAAGUUACCCGAUUGAUGUAAGCCUCUUCUCCUCGCUAUAAUCUUUGCUGCACCUUGAUCUUUCCGGUAAUAUCCGGCCAGUUUAGAUACAAACUUAGACAUCCCAAUAAACCUGGAGAUAUUGUUGUUACAAGGUUGCGGCAUCCACGAGUUCCCAAAUAUCUUAAAGUUCCUUGACAAGUUGGAGAAUAUAGACAUUUCAGGAAAUGUAAUCAAAGGGAAAGUCCCUGAGUGGUUAUGGACGCUUCCUCGUCUAAACACGGUGUUUCUUUCAAACAAUUCGUUUCAUGGUUUCCAAGGUCCAGUGGAUGUUUUGGUCAAUUCAUCGGUGAAGAAUUUAUUUGUGGAGCAAAACUAUUUUGAAGGAGCAAUUCCUAUUCUGCCACUCUCCAUCAACGUUUUCUCUGCGUUAGACAACAGAUUCACAGGGAGCAUACCUCUUUCAAUUUGCAAUUAUAGGUCUCUGACGCUUUUGAGGCUACCUCACGGGACCAAUUCCUCGAUGCUUGAGUAACUUGACGUUUGUGAAUCUUCGGAAGAACAACUUGGAAGGAAGUAUUCCUGACACCUUUUAUAUCAGUUCUUCUCUACGAUCACUUGAUGUUGGACACAAUCGAUUAACCGGGAAGCUUCCAAGAUCUCUUCAGAAUUGCUCAUCUCUAGAGUUUCUAGUUGUUGACCACAACCGAAUCAAAGACAAGUUUCCUUUUUGGCUCAAGGCUUUACCAAACUUGCAAGUCCUUAUCCUCAGUUCAAACAAAUUCUAUGGCUCUAUAUCUCCUCCUAAUCAAGGUCCUCUCGGAUUUCCAGAGCUGCGUAUAUUUGAGAUAUCUGAUAAUAAGUUUACUGGAAGCUUGCCACCAACAUACUUUGUCAACUGGAAAGCAUCAUCACUUAUGAUGAACGAAGAUGGUGGUCUAUACAUGUUAUACACGAAAAAUACUUAUGGGAUAAUAUCCUAUAUCAAUAUAUAAGCUAUAGAUUUGCAAUACAAAGGUCUAUCAAUGGAGCAACAGAGGGUCCUUACCUCCUACGCUACCAUUGAUUUUUCCGGGAAUAGAAUUGAAGGACUGAUUCCUGAAUCAAUUGAUCUUUUGAAAGCAUUGAUUGCACUCAACUUAUCUAACAACGUCUUCACAGGCCAUAUUCCUCUGUCUCUCUCCAAUCUUGGCAAGCUCGAGUCACUUGACCUAUCAAGCAACCAACUCUCAGGGACUAUUCCUAAUGGACUUGGGAGCCUCUCGUUUUUGGCGUACAUAAACGUGUCUCAGAACAUACAAACGAAAUCCUAUUUCGUUUUCUAUAAAGUAAGAAGGGUGACUUUUUUUAAGUCAAUUUCAUGUGCACCUCUCUUUUUCUACUGAGUAAAAUGGCAAAAGCAAGGAAAUGGUGAAAGGUUAUAUUGGGGUUUAGUGAUAUUCAAAAUAUUAGAUUGAUCACACUCGGACAAGAAGAAGCCAACUCCAAGAAACCGUUGAUUACUAAUAGGAUAUAGAGAUAACUAAUAUAUCCAAUGGUCGUUUUGUAUAGAAAAAGCUUUGUGAUUGGGUCACUUAUUAAUUUGGAGUUGGUUGUGCCAAGUUUCAAGAUACUACAAAAUACAGUAUUGAUCGUAAAUGAAAGCUACUCAUUCAACAGAACGAAACGGCAACUUAUAGUUACAGGAGUAAUAAGCAGUGGCUAUACUGAGCCUAUAUAGGCUAAUAUGCUCUUGGAGUCACAGUAGCAUAAGUCAUUGCUUCACAGUCGCAAUAGUAAAGCCUGUCUCAGUUACCAAAAAAAACUGAUUCUGUAUACGGAAACGAAGCAGAGGAGUAAGAAAAACAUGUUGAUUUUUCAAGACUACAAAAAUGCAACCGACAGGGAGUUUCACUGAAUUCAGAAAUUUACUUUAACACUUAAAAAAAAAAAAGAUGCCAUCAUGUUGAUAAAUGAAAGAAGUAAAAACAAAAUUCAUUACUUCAUUGAUAAAACAAAGUCAACUAGGCUUGACUUCUACAAAGAAGGGCAAAAAGCAGAGUAUUAAAAACAUAUCUAAAAAAUGAAGGGGCAAUUCUAUUCUACCACUCUCUAUCACCCAAUCUGGAAGGAAGUAUUCCUAUCAAGUUCAAUGUUGGUGCCUCGUUUCAGACAUUUAAAGUUGGAUAACCGGCUAACCGAGAUUAUUCGAGAAGCUUGAAAGGCCUCUUGUAAAGUGCUUGUUUCUUAUCCUUGAAAACAGCAAAAAAAAACAAAAUCAAUGAAAACAGUCCUGAGUUUUAACUGUGUAAAUAAAAACAGAUUCCACAAAGACUUGGAAUCCUCUGGUUUUUGGAGUAAGAAAAUGUGUGAGGCACGACCAACUCAAGGAUGAAAUGCAACAAGGAACACAGAUUACAUGGCAAACUAAUCUUCCUUUGAACUUCAAAGUCUACAUCAAGAUGGUUGAGUUUCUUGAUGCGGCUGAGGAAGAAGUGAAGGUGGCCAAGAAGAAGAGAAGAAAGUGAUGGAUGGAGCUUGUGAAGAGGACAACAGACUAUGAAGGGGAAGAAUCCACUUCAUUUGUUUGUCAUCGUUAGAGAUUUUCUUGCGAUGGUUGAUAAAGUAUGCGUAGAGAUCGCGCGAGGAACUUGCAGAGGAGAGCAACGGGAAAGUCGGAACGCGGUUAAGUUGCCUCCGAACUUUAUGUCGUAUAGAUGGAGAAGUGAUUCUGGUGGAUGAUCAGAUUCUGCCUGAGAUUUGUUUGGUUUUUUUGUAUAUAAUAGAAUCAAUUUGGGUGUUGGUUAUGUUUUUUUCCAUGAAAAAAGUUUUUGAAGUGUUGAUAAUGUUAGUAGCACAGGUUUUUUUUUACA